UAUUUUUUCUCUGUUCUCAUUUCAGCACCCCUGUUAGGAUGACGCCUAGUGCAAGCACUCCUGAUGCGCCACCCCCAAUCCAGCCCUGAAUCAUUUCUUACCUUUGCAAGUUUAGAGGGAUAUCCUCGGAGAUCUUCUAAGUUCCCAAUACAAAUUUUUUUCCUAAGAUGGCUGAAUCAAUCUCGAGGGGAGACAUCAGUGGUCAUACUUAAUCUAUGACGACCUCCUGAACCUAAUUGCAAGACACGUAUGUGGACAGAGCCUAAGACGACAUUCUUAAUAAAAGGAACAUCAAUUUAGGGGAGGAAAGAAAAGAUGAGAGAGAAAAAAAGUAAAACAGGACUCCUUGCAGCACUUGGACUAGCAAAACUCCAAGAAAG